rnacentral:rRNA from 1 species
GGUAGUGUAGUUAAUAGCUGCAUUAUUUGACGUUAGCGACAGAAGAAGCACCGGCUAACUCCGUGCCAGCAGCCGCGGUAAUACGGAGGGUGCGAGCGUUAAUCGGAAUUACUGGGCGUAAAGACGCAUGCAGGUGGUUUGUUAAGUUCAGAUGUGAAAGACCCGGGGCGUCAACCUCCGGAAUAGCAUUUGAAACUAGGCAGACUAGAGUACUGUAGAGGGGGGUAGGAAGUUUCAGGUGUAGCGGUGAAAUAGCGUAGAGAUCUGAAGGAAUACCGGUGGCGAAGGCGGCCCCCUCGGACAGAUACUGACACUCAGAUGCGAAAGCGUGGGGAGCAAACAGGAUUAGAUACCCUGGUAG